rnacentral:rRNA from 1 species
GACGAACGCUGGCGGCGUGCUUAACACAUGCAAGUCGAACGGAAAGGCCCUGCUUUUGUGGGGUGCUCGAGUGGCGAGCGGGUGAGUAACACGUGAGUAACCUGCCCUUGACUUUGGGAUAACUUCAGGAAACUGGGGCUAAUACCGGAUAGGAGCUCCUGCUGCAUGGUGGGGGUUGGAAAGUUUCGGCGGUUGGGGAUGGACUCGCGGCUUAUCAGCUUGUUGGUGGGGUAGUGGCUUACCAAGGCUUUGACGGGUAGCCGGCCUGAGAGGGUGACCGGCCACAUUGGGACUGAGAUACGGCCCAGACUCCUACGGGAGGCAGCAGUGGGGAAUAUUGCACAAUGGGCGGAAGCCUGAUGCAGCAACGCCGCGUGCGGGAUGACGGCCUUCGGGUUGUAAACCGCUUUCGCCUGUGACGAAGCGUGAGUGACGGUAAUGGGUAAAGAAGCACCGGCUAAUUACGUG